GUGGGGAAUAUUGGGCAAUGGUCGGAAGACUGACCCAGCCAUGCCGCGUGCAGGAAGACGGCCCUCUGGGUUGUAAACUGCUUUUAUCUGGGAAGAAAAAGGCCAUGCGUGGCAAAUUGCCGGUACCAGAUGAAUAAGCACCGGCUAACUCCGUGCCAGCAGCCGCGGUAAUACGGAGGGUGCGAGCGUUGUCCGGAUUUAUUGGGUUUAAAGGGUGCGUAGGCGGCUGAUUAAGUCAGCGGUGAAAGACUUCGGCUUAACCGGAGCAGUGCCGUUGAUACUGGUUGGCUUGAGUGUCGGAGGGGUACAUGGAAUUGAUGGUGUAGCGGUGAAAUGCAUAGAUACCAUCAGGAACACCGAUAGCGAAGGCAUUGUACUGGCCGACAACUGACGCUGAUGCACGAAAGUGUGGGGAUCGAACAGGAUUAGAUACCCCAGUAGUCC
rnacentral:rRNA from 1 species